rnacentral:snoRNA from 1 species
CUUCCUCAGGCUUACUCCAGGCUUCUUGCCUGUAGGGUGUCCUGGCAUUGCUUGAGGAUAGAGGAAAAAGCCCAGCUCCCUCCCCAACAAGAUGCUGCUUUCUUGUGGGCCCUACAGAUUGGGCUGACAGA